UACAGAGGUCCCGAGCGUUGUUCGGAUUCAUUGGGCGUAAAGGGUGCGUAGGCGGCGGGGAGAGUCUGAUGUGAAAUCCUGGGGCUCAACCCUGGAACUGCAUUGGAUACUUCCUUGCUAGAGUACUGGAGAGGAAACUGGAAUUUACGGUGUAGCAGUGAAAUGCGUAGAGAUCGUAAGGAAGACCAGUGGCGAAGGCGAGUUUCUGGACAGUUACUGACGCUGAGGCACGAAGGCCAGGGGAGCAAACGGG
rnacentral:rRNA from 1 species